rnacentral:rRNA from 1 species
UACGUAGGGUGCAAGCGUUGUCCGGAAUUAUUGGGCGUAAAGAGCUUGUAGGCGGUUUGUCGCGUCUGCUGUGAAAUUUCGGGGCUCAACCCCGAACUUGCAGUGGGUACGGGCAGACUAGAGUGCGGUAGGGGAGACUGGAAUUCCUGGUGUAGCGGUGAAAUGCGCAGAUAUCAGGAGGAGCACCGGUGGCGAAGGCGGGUCUCGUGGGCCGUAACUGACGCUGAGGAGCGAAAGCAUGGGGAGCGAACAGG